CAGCAGCCACGGUAAUACGAAGGGGGCUAGCGUUGCUCGGAAUCACUGGGCGUAAAGGGUGCGUAGGCGGGUCUUUAAGUCAGGGGUGAAAUCCUGGAGCUCAACUCCAGAACUGCCUUUGAUACUGAAGAUCUUGAGUUCGGGAGAGGUGAGUGGAACUGCGAGUGUAGAGGUGAAAUUCGUAGAUAUUCGCAAGAACACCAGUGGCGAAGGCGGCUCACUGGCCCGAUACUGACGCUGAGGCACGAAAGCGUGGGGAGCAAACAGGAUUAGAUACCCCCGUAGUCCCUGUCUCUUAUAA
rnacentral:rRNA from 1 species